rnacentral:lncRNA from 1 species
GGUGGACACAACAUCUUUGUUUGUAUGUGGUGCUGAGGAUUGAACCUGGGCCGCACGCAUGCCAGGCGAGCGCACUACCACUUGAGCCACAUCCCCAGCCCCCUGAAAUACUGCUUUUAGAUUGUGCCAUGAGAGCAAAGAUACCCUCUUUUGUAUACUAAAGUGAAUGCAAUAUUUGCCUGCUUUUUUGGUCUGGAUUUGAAAUGUGUUUUUUCUGUGUGGCCUAAUUCCCAAAAUAAUUUGAACACAACAUACCAAGAAAAGACAUAAAAAACUAUGUUAAUAAAAUAUGAACCAAUGGGACUGGGAUUGUGGCUCAGCGGUAGAGUGCUCGCCUAGCACAUGCAGGGCCCUGGGUUCGAUCCUCGGUACCACAUAAAAAUAAAUGAAUGGAAUAAAGGUAUUGUGUCCAACUAAAAAAAAUUAAUAUUUAAAAAUAGAAUAAAAUAAAAUAUGAACUGAAAGGGGAGAAAAACAAGAUCAAUGAAAAUGGAAACAAGGGUAAAAAUGUUGCUGUUACAGUAUAUAAAAAGUGACAGUGGAACUUCCUGAAAGUUAAGGCUAGAAGAAGGCAGAUAAGUUAUGCCUUGAUCUAUCAGCAAUUCCAAAUCAUAUCAGUUCCUUAGGUGGGACUCUGUCCUGAUGAAUUCUGGAAAAUGUGUUCUCACUUGGGGGUCCUAAGAAGUGCCAAAAUGAAGAAAAUUCUUCAUUAUUUGCUGGUUGCUUGUUAUGAUUGUGCCUUGGAUCCUCAGCUUGUACCUGUCUUCGAAAGCUUCCAUUUCAUGGUGUGUGUGUGGGUGUGUGUGUGUGUGUGUGUGUGUGUGUGUGUGUUUAAAAUAGGAUUUUGUUCCCAUAAGUAAAAAUUCUUGCCCUACACUAGAAACAAAUAUCUGUUAAAGCUUGGAAAUUCAUUUGAGACAAAUGCCUUGAAUCAUGG